UACGAAGGGUGCAAGCGUUACUCGGAAUUACUGGGCGUAAAGCGUGCGUAGGUGGUUUGUUAAGUCUGAUGUGAAAGCCCUGGGCUCAACCUGGGAAUGGCAUUGGAUACUGGCGAGCUAGAGUGCGGUAGAGGGUAGUGGAAUUCCCGGUGUAGCAGUGAAAUGCGUAGAGAUCGGGAGGAACAUCUGUGGCGGAGGCGACUACCUGGACCAGCACUGACGCUCAUGCACGAAAGCGUGGGGAGCAAACAGG
rnacentral:rRNA from 1 species